rnacentral:rRNA from 1 species
CCUACGGGAGGCAGCAGUGAGGAAUAUUGGUCAAUGGUCGUAAGCCUGAACCAGCCAAGUCGCGUGCGGGAUGACGGCCCUAUGGAUCGUAAACUGCUUUUAUACGGGGAUAAAGUGCGUGACGUGUGCUGUUUUGUAGGUACCGCAUGAAUAAGGACCGGCUAAUUCCGUGCCAGCAGCCGCGGUAAUACGGAGGUUCCGAGCGUUAUCCGGAUUUAUUGGGUUUAAAGGGUGCGUAGGCGGCAUGUUAAGCUUGCGGUGAAAUGCCGUGGCUCAACCAUGGAAUUGCGGUUGGAACUGGGGUGCUUGAGUGCGUUGAAGGCAGGCGGAAUGCGUGGUGUAGCGGUGAAAUGCUUAGAUAUCACGAAGAACUCCGAUUGCGAAGGCAGCAUACG